AAUAGAUACCCAGGUAGUCCACGCCGUAAACGAUGAAUACUAGGUGUAGGGGUUGUCAUGACCUCUGUGCCGCCGCUAACGCAUUAAGUAUUCCGCCUGGGGAGUACGGUCGCAAGAUUAAAACUCAAAGGAAUUGACGGGGGCCCGCACAAGCAGCGGAGCAUGUGGUUUAAUUCGAAGCAACGCGAAGAACCUUACCUAGACUUGACAUCUCCUGAAUUACUCUGUAAUGGAGGAAGCCACUUCGGUGGCAGGAAGACAGGUGGUGCAUGGUUGUCGUCAGCUCGUGUCGUGAGAUGUUGGGUUAAGCCCCGCAACGAGCGCAACCCUUAUUGUUAGUUGCUACCAUUUAGUUGAGCACUCUAGCGAGGCUGCCCGGGUUAACCGGGAGGAAGGUGGGGAUGACGUCAAAUCAUCAUGCCCCUUAUGUCUAGGGCUACACACGUGCUACAAUGGUCGGUACAAUGAGAUGCAACCUCGCGAGAGUGAGCAAAACUAUAAAACCGAUCUCAGUUCGGAUUGUAGGCUGUAAACC
rnacentral:rRNA from 1 species